rnacentral:rRNA from 1 species
AUGUGCAUAGAUUUCACAUAUCUCAACAAGGCUUGCCCAAAGGACCCAUUUCCCUUGCCGCGCAUCGAUCAGAUUGUGGACUCCACUUUAGGCUAUGAUUUGCUCUCCUUUUUGGAUGCAUAUUCUGGAUAUCAUCAAAUCUUCAUGACCAAAGAAGACGAAGAGAAGACCUUGUUCAUCACCCCAUGCGGUACAUACUAUUUUAUCCGCAUGCCUUUCAAAUUAAAGAGUGUCAGGUCUACUUUUGCAAGGGCAGUCCAGAUUGGUUUUGAGACACAACUACACAGAGACAUUGAGGCUUAUAUGGAUGAUAUUGUGGUCAAGACCAAGGACAGAGCAACCCUUAUUCAGGAUUUGGAGGAGACAUUUGCUAAUCUGCGCAAGAUCAACUUGAAGCUCAACCCAGAGAAGUGUGUGUUUGGCGUUCCCUCCGACAAACUACUUGGGUUCGUUGUAUCCCAUCGAGGGAUUGAGGCCAACCCAGACAAUAUCAAAGCUAUCGAGCAAAUUCAAGCGCCCAGGACAGUCAAGGAUGUGAGGCGUUUGAUAGGGUGCGUUGCCGCGCUAAGCAGAUUUAUCUCCAAGUCUGCCGAGCGCGCCCUGCCGUUCUUCAAAAUCCUGAUGAAGGCAGGACCCAUGAAGUGGACCCCAGAAGUAGAUGCAGCUUUGCAAGAGUUGAAGGCCUACUUAUCGUCUGCGCCCACCUUGGUUCCCCCAAACCCCAAGAGCCGUUGCUACUAUACUUGGCGGCAACCAAUCAAGUGGUUAGUGCGGCCUUGGUGGCACAGCGGGAAGUAG